rnacentral:rRNA from 1 species
AUGGCCACCUACCUCUCUGACCUUAUCAGUGACCAUUCCCUAGAUUUCCUGGGUCUGCAAGAGACCAUGAAAGAAAAAAUUUCUCCCAAAUGUUUGAGGAGAAUUGAUCCCUUUAACUCGUUCAAUUGGUACUGGAUCCCUUCUGUUGGCAAAUCUGGAGGUAUCCUAUGUAGAGUUAGACAGGACACCCUGGAAGUGGUUACAUGUGACAAAGGCAAGUAUAUCUUGCAGUUAGUGGUUGGGGACAAAAGGAAAAAAACCAACUGGGGUCUGUUGAUAGUGUAUGGCUCUGCUCACGAAGAACAUAAGGAGGCAUUCUUGCUUGAGCUUGCUACUAUGUGUCAUAAUAUGCAAGUCCCUUAUAUAGUGGGUGGGGACUUCAAUAUUCUCACGCACCCUGGGGAGAAAAACAAAAAAAUGGCAAGCCAUAAAUCCACUAACCUGUUCAAUUCUAUUAUUAACACCAUGGCCCUUAGAGAGAUUCAUAUUAGUGGGGAUAAAUAUACUUGGACGAACAAUCAAGCUCACCCUACCUUGGAGAAGCUUGAUCGUGUCCUGAUGUCUGAGGAGUGGGAGGAAUUAUUUCCCCUGGUUUCUGUUAGGAAAUUGGUUCGAGAGAUCUCGGACCAUAACCCUUUGCUGAUUAACUCUGAG